rnacentral:rRNA from 1 species
AGUUUGAUCCUGGCUCAGAACGAACGCUGGCGGCAUGCCUAACACAUGCAAGUCGAACGAUGCUUUCGGGCAUAGUGGCGCACGGGUGCGUAACGCGUGGGAAUCUGCCCUUGGGUCUGGGAUAACAGUUGGAAACGACUGCUAAUACCGGAUGAUAUCGCGAGAUCAAAGAUUUAUCGCCCGAGGAUGAGCCCGCGUAGGAUUAGCUAGUUGGUGGGGUAAAGGCCUACCAAGGCGACGAUCCUUAGCUGGUCUGAGAGGAUGAUCAGCCACACUGGGACUGAGACACGGCCCAGACUCCUACGGGAGGCAGCAGUGGGGAAUAUUGGACAAUGGGCGAAAGCCUGAUCCAGCAAUGCCGCGUGAGUGAUGAAGGCCUUAGGGUUGUAAAGCUCUUUUACCCGGGAUGAUAAUGACAGUACCGGGAGAAUAAGCCCCGGCUAACUCCGUGCCAGCAGCCGCGGUAA